GACACGGCCCAAACUCCUACGGGAGGCAGCAGUAGGGAAUCUUCCACAAUGGGCGCAAGCCUGAUGGAGCAACGCCGCGUGCAGGAUGAAGGCUUUCGGGUCGUAAACUGCUUUUAUAGGUGAAGAUUAUGACGGUAACCUAUGAAUAAGGAUCGGCUAAUUACGUGCCAGCAGCCGCGGUCAUACGUAAGAUCCAAGCGUUAUCCGGAAUUACUGGGUGUAAAGAGUUGCGUAGGUGGCAUAGUAAGUAGGAAGUGAAAGCGUUCGGCUCAACCGAAUAAACAUUUCUUAAACUGCUAAGCUAGAGAACGAGAGAGGUAGAUGGAAUUCCCAGUGUAGGAGUGAAAUCCGUAGAUAUUGGGAGGAACACCGAUGGCGUAGGCAGUCUACUGGCUCGUUUCUGACACUAAGGCACGAAAGCGUGGGUAGCAAACAGGAUUAGAUACCCGUGUAGUC
rnacentral:rRNA from 1 species